rnacentral:rRNA from 1 species
UACGUAGGGUGCGAGCGUUAAUCGGAAUUACGGGGCGUAAAGCGUGCGCAGGCGGUGCACCAAGUUCGAUGCGAAAGCCCCGGGCUUAACCUGGGAAUUGCAUUGAGGACUGGUGUGCUCGAGUGCGGCAGAGGGGGGUGGAAUUCCACGUGUAGCAGUGAAAUGCGUAGAGAUGUGGAGGAACACCGAUGGCGAAGGCAGCCCCCUGGGCCGACACUGACGCUCAUGCACGAAAGCGUGGGGAGCAAACAGG